GACGAACCGUCCUAACGUUGUUCGGAAUCACUGGGCUUAAAGGGCGCGUAGGCGGGUCUCCAAGUCGGUGGUGAAAUCUUUCAGCUCAACUGGAAAAGUGCCGCCGAUACUGGGGAUCUCGAGGGAGGUAGGGGUCGAUGGAACUAAUGGUGGAGCGGUGAAAUGCGUAGAUAUCAGGAGGAACACCAAUGGCGAAGGCAGCACUCUGGGACGUGACUGACGCUGAGACGCGAAAGCGUGGGGAGCAAACAGG
rnacentral:rRNA from 1 species